CUUGUCGCGGUGCAACGUCGCGGCGCAGGAGUCGUUAGAAACGACCACGUUCAACGGCGAUUUGCGACACGAGACGUGUAUUCGUUGUCCUGUUCUGAUCGCCUAACCCGUGGUUGCGUCAAGUCGGACAAUAUGCCACCAAAAGUUUGCGCAAGGUGUCGUUAACUUUGCGGUUUCGAGUCAUCGUUGAGUCAGAGUUUUCCCGCCAAGCUGACCAGUGAACAAGUUUUGUCAGAUAGCGAACGGAAGUGCCCUGACGAACUGUGCAGUGCUGACCACACGGUGAGCCAAGAAUUCCAUAAGAGGUGCUUACUCAGCAUCUGUGGCUAACUCAAAGGAAGCACCUCCCAAAAGCAGUGCUACAAGGAUGUGAGCCACAAGUUCUUUUCAAUGAAUGGAUCAGAUGCCUGAGAGCCACGGGCGGCUGCAUCUGGCCUACACAGACAGUGCAGCCACCACAGUAAAGUUCUUGCAAAGACCAUCUUGCUAAUUCAUACAGAGUGCUGCAGCAAUCGCAUUGUCAGACAUUCUACAAAAACUGGCCCAAAGACGGACAGAAGGCAGCACAGAUGGACACGCAGAAGCGGUUGGGCUGCCUCAUAAACUGUAACUGAGCAUUAACCUACAUACAGAAAUGAGCCAAGCCGAGCUGUUCAUGGGCCUUGCACACAGUUUCAUAAGCGGGCUUUGAGAACUUUUGACAAUUAUGUUUCUCAAUAUAUCUGCCAAAGUUGUGUUCAAAGAAGCAUGUAGUAGAACAUUUCAUUGUUCAUUUGGCAUGCUGCAGCAGGUAUGACUCGCACAUCUGCAAGAUAACGCAGCACAGUGCAUACACACAAACUACCCCCACAUACGUUCUGGAUUUGUUGCUUGACUGUAAAUUGUUUACUCUGACCUUGCACAACAAUUAAUAACAAAGUGACAUGAAAGCUUUGCCAUCUAUGUAGGUAGCAUCCUCAGCAUAUGCUGGCAAUAAGUGGGCAAAUUUCAACCAGUCCACUGGUCACAUAUUUUGUUUUAAACAUUUAUAGAUAGAAGGCCGGGGUUGUUGGAAGCUGACACGUGGUAACGAAUGGACCGCGACUCCAGAAGUUUUCUGUUUUCUCAUCUUUGCACACAAGGUCGCAUAGUCAAAUUCUUCAGGCUGCAGCUAUGUCUUGUCACUCAGAAGCGUUUAACAAGCUCUAUGUCAGAACAUGUUGCAUAGAAAACUUAAGCAACAUCCUCUUAACGUUCUUUAGGUUUCUUCGGCGACCAUUUUUCAUUUGUAUUUCCCAUGAAAGUUGCAUCGCAAGUUCCGCUUUAUACUUUACCGAUGACCUCACUAUAACCUUCAGUGCUUUUCGGUAUUCCUUGGGAUAUACGUUCACGGACCACACACUUGUGUAGUAGGAAGGACUUCUACAAAGUACACAGGGGUAUUGCAACGCCACUCCUAUUGUCAAAAUGUGCAGAAAGAGUUCAGAGGUUUAAAGACAGCAAAGGGGGGAUGCUGCUAUUGCCACCAGUGCAGCUUGCUUCAAGACUGAGCUUAACUGCUGGACAACAAGGCGUAGCUUCUAUAUAAGCAGUGCUUGAAAGUAGCUU